UACGAGGGGGGCAAGUGUUGUUCGGAAUCACUGGGCGUAAAGGGCGCGUAGGCGGCCACCGCAAGUCACUUGUGAAAUCUCCGGGCUUAACCCGGAAAGGUCAACUGAUACUGCGGGGCUAGAGUGCAGAAGGGGCAACUGGAAUUCUCGGUGUAGCGGUGAAAUGCGUAGAUAUCGAGAGGAACACCUGCGGCGAAGGCGGGUUGCUGGGCUGACACUGACGCUGAGGCGCGAAAGCCAGGGGAGCGAACGGG
rnacentral:rRNA from 1 species